rnacentral:rRNA from 1 species
GUUAUAUGGUCAAGCGAAUAAGCGCACACGGUGGAUGCCUUGGCGGUCAGAGGCGAUGAAGGACGUGACAGCCUGCGAAAAGCGUGGGGGAGCUGGCAAUAAGCAUUGAUCCCGCGAUGUCCGAAUGGGGAAACCCACUCCGCAAGGAGUAUCGUGCAGUGAAUACAUAGCUGUACGAAGCGAACCCGGUGAACUGAAAUAUCUAAGUAACCGGAGGAAAAGAAAUCAACCGAGAUUCCCUAAGUAGUGACGAGCGAACGGGGAGCAGCCCUUAAGUUGAGUAAGGUUUAGCAAAACGAGUUGGAAAGCUCGGCCAUAGACGGUGACAGCCCGGUAUGCGAAAGACCUCAUUCAAUGAAAUCGAGUAAGGCGGGGCACGAGAAACCCUGUCUGAACAUGGGGGGACCAUCCUCCAAGGCUAAAUACUCCUGACCGACCGAUAGUGAACCAGUACCGUGAGGGAAA